rnacentral:rRNA from 1 species
CAGUCGCCGCGGGAAUACAGAGGGUGCGAGCGUUAAUCGGAUUUACUGGGCGUAAAGCGUGCGUAGGCGGCUUCUUAAGUCGGAUGUGAAAUCCCUGAGCUUAACUUAGGAAUUGCAUUUGAUACUGGGAAGCUAGAGUAUGGGAGAGGAUGGUAGAAUUCCAGGUGUAGCGGUGAAAUGCGUAGAGAUCUGGAGGAAUACCGAUGGCGAAGGCAGCCAUCUGGCCUAAUACUGACGCUGAGGUACGAAAGCAUGGGGAGCAAACAGGAUUAGAUACCCGAGUAGUCCCUGUCUCUUAUAA